rnacentral:rRNA from 1 species
CCUACGGGAGACAGCAGUGGGGAAUAUUGCACAAUGGGGGAAACCCUGAUGCAGCGACGCCGCGUGAGUGAAGAAGUAUUUCGGUAUGUAAAGCUCUAUCAGCAGGGAAGAAAAUGACGGUACCUGACUAAGAAGCCCCGGCUAACUACGUGCCAGCAGCCGCGGUAAUACGUAGGGGGCAAGCGUUAUCCGGAUUUACUGGGUGUAAAGGGAGCGUAGACGGUGAUGCAAGUCAGAAGUGAAAGCCCGGGGCUCAACUCCGGGACUGCUUUUGAAACUGUGUGACUGGAGUGCAGGAGAGGUAAGCGGAAUUCCUGGUGUAGCGGUGAAAUGCGUAGAUAUCAGGAGGAACACCAGUGGCGAAGGCGGCUUACUGGACUGUAACUGACGUUGAGGCUCGAAAGCGUGGGGAGCAAACAGGAUUAGAUACCCGAGUAGUC